UUGCCUCAGUAACGGCGAGUGAAGCGGCAACAGCUCAAAUUUGAAAUCUGGCCUUCGGGUCCGAGUUGUAAUUUGUAGAGGAUGCUUUUGGCGCGGUGCCUUCCGAGUUCCCUGGAACGGGACGCCUUAGAGGGUGAGAGCCCCGUACGGUUGGAAGCCAAGCCUCUGUAAAGCUCCUUCGACGAGUCGAGUAGUUUGGGAAUGCUGCUCUAAAUGGGAGGUAAAUUUCUUCUAAAGCUAAAUAUUGGCCAGAGACCGAUAGCGCACAAGUAGAGUGAUCGAAAGAUGAAAAGCACUUUGAAAAGAGGGUUAAAUAGCACGUGAAAUUGUUGAAAGGGAAGCGUUUGCGACCAGACCUUCUCCUGGGGGAUCAUCCGGUGUUCUCACCGGUGCACUUCCCCAGGUCUAGGCCAGCAUCGGUUUCCGCAGGGGGAUAAAAGCUCUGGGAACGUAGCUCCUUCGGGAGUGUUAUAGCCCUCCGCAUAAUACCCUUGCGGGGACCGAGGACCGCGCUUCGGCAAGGAUGCUGGCGUAAUGGUCGUCAACGACCCGUCUUGAAACACGGACCAAGGAGUCGAACAUUUGUGCGAGUGUUUGGGUGUCAAACCCUCACGCGUAAUGAAAGUGAACGGAGGUGAGAGCCCUUACGGGUGCAUCAUCGACCGAUCCUGAUGUCUUCGGAUGGAUUUGAGUAAGAGCAUAACUGUUCGGACCCGAAAGAUGGUGAACUAUGCGUGGAUAGGGUGAAGCCAGAGGAAACUCUGGUGGAGGCUCGCAGCGGUCUGACGUGCAAAUCGAUCGUCAAAUCUGCGCAUGGGGCGAAAGACUAUCGAA
rnacentral:rRNA from 1 species